rnacentral:snoRNA from 1 species
AGACCAUGAUGAGGGCAACACCUAAGCAAGCCCUUUUAUCUUUUUUAAGCUUUGUCCAAUGAUUCAAAAUCUAGCUGCAUGAAUGAUGUGAUAUCAUUCCUCAUUUU